rnacentral:rRNA from 1 species
CGCUGGCGGCACGCCUAAUACAUGCAAGUCGAACGGAGUAGCAAUACUUAGUGGCAGACGGGUGAGUAACAUGUGGGUAUCUUCCCUUUGGUGAGGAAUAACACGAGGAAACUUGUGCUAAUACCUCAUAAGUCUUUACGGAGAAAGCUUUAUGCGCCAAUGGAUGAGCCCGCACUUGAUUAGUUUGUUGGUAGGGUAAUGGCCUACCAAGACUGUGAUCAAUAGCUGAUUUGAGAGGAUGAUCAGCCACAUUGGGACUGAGACACGGCCCAAACUCCUACGGGAGGCAGCAGUAGGGAAUCUUGCACAAUGGAGGAAACUCUGAUGCAGCGAUGCCGCGUGAGUGAAGAAGGCCCUUGGGUUGUAAAGCUCUUUCGUCGGGGAAGAAAAUGACUGUACCCGAAUAAGAAGGUCCGGCUAACUUCGUGCCAGCAGCCGCGGUAAUACGAAGGGACCUAGCGUAGUUCGGAAUUACUGGGCUUAAAGAGUUCGUAGGUGGUUAAAAAAGUUGGUGGUGAAAGCCCAGAGCUUAACUCUGGAACUGCCAUCAAAACUUUUUAGCUAGAGUUUGAUAGAGGAAAGCAGAAUUUCUAGUGUAGAGGUGAAAUUCGUAGAUAUUAGAAAGAAUACCGAUUGCGAAGGCAGCUUUCUGGAUCAUUACUGACACUGAGGAACGAAAGCAUGGGUAGCGAAGAGGAUUAGAUACCCUCGUAGUCCAUGCCGUAAACGAUGUGUGUUAGAUGUUGGAAAUUUAUUUUCAGUAUCACAGCGAAAGCAAUAAACACACCGCCUGGGGAGUACGACCGCAAGGUUAAAACUCAAAUGAAUUGACGGGGACCCGCACAAGUAGUGGAGCAUGUGGUUUAAUUCGAAGAUACGCGCAGAACCUUACCAACACUUGACAUGUUCGUCGCGACUCUAAGAGAUUAGAGUUUUCGGUUCGGCCGGACGAAACACAGGUGCUGCAUGGCU